GAUGAACGCUGGCGGCGUGCCUAAUACAUGCAAGUCGAGCGAACAGACGAGGAGCUUGCUCCUCUGACGUUAGCGGCGGACGGGUGAGUAACACGUGGAUAACCUACCUAUAAGACUGGGAUAACUUCGGGAAACCGGAGCUAAUACCGGAUAAUAUAUUGAACCGCAUGGUUCAAUAUUGAAAGACGGUUUUGCUGUCACUUAUAGAUGGAUCCGCGCCGCAUUAGCUAGUUGGUAAGGUAACGGCUUACCAAGGCAACGAUGCGUAGCCGACCUGAGAGGGUGAUCGGCCACACUGGAACUGAGACACGGUACAGACUACUACGGGAGGCAGCAGUAGGGAAUCUUCCGCAAUGGGCGAAAGCCUGACGGAGCAACGCCGCGUGAGUGAUGAAGGUCUUCGGAUCGUAAAACUCUGUUAUUAGGGAAGAAAAAAUGUGUAAGUAACUAUGCACGUCUUGACGGUACCUAAUCAGAAAGCCACGGCUAACUACGUG
rnacentral:rRNA from 1 species